GGUCUGCCACUGUGAGGACGAUCAGCUGUCCAUCCUGUCUCCCUGUAGCGCUGUCUAAGGCGUCUCACAGUAUGGACAUUGCAAUUUAUUGCCCUUUCCACAUCUGCAUUCCUCAUGCCUCCUUGCAGCAUGCCUAAGGCAUGUUCACGCAGAUGAGCAGGGACCCUGGGCAUCUUUCUUUUGGUGUUAGUAGAAAGGCCUCAUUUUUAGUGUCCGAAGUUUCCAUAACUGUGACCUUAAUUGCUUACCGUCUGUAAGCUGUUAGUGUCUUAACGACCGUUACACAGGUGCAUGUUCAUGAAUUGUUUAUGGUUCAUUGAACAAGCAUGGGAGGGUCCUGAAAAAGGGACGUUUCUUUUUUUGCCGAGUUUAGAUAUUUCCAGCUACAAUAGUCAUUUACAACAUUAACAAUGUCUAUACUGUAUUUCGGAUCAAUGUGAUGUUAUUUUAAUGGACAAAACAUUUGCUUUUCUUUCAAAAACAAGGACAUUUCUAAGUGACCCCAAACUUUUGAACGGUAGUUUGUGUAUAGGCAUGUAAAUGUUUUUUUACUUUUUAUGAAGUUUUUUUUUUGUGUGUUAUGUUUGUAUUGUUUUGAGAAUCGUGCAAACUGGGGUCCAUUGACCACUGUGACUGAAUGUGAUGCUAAAAUGGUCAAAGACUGGGCAGUCAGAUGAUUUAAAAAUCACCACUUUAAUUUCACCUGUUUACACUCAUUGCACCUUUCUAAUCACUUUCUAGGUAUUAUAUCUGCCUUUUUUAGUGUUAUGUGUGAGAAUGAUCAAAUCUGGCUGCAAUCAAUGGUAUUUCAAUUGCUGUGCGAUUUUAUAAGGGAAUUAUUUGUUGGUCAUGUAACAUGCAUUGAAAGGGCAGUGUCUUCUAUGGCCAAUUCAUACUGUAUUCGGUUGUGAAUCUACCUUAUGUUGCAUUAUGCUGUACAAUAUUUUGUGAACUUGAGGAACCUGUUUUUGUUUUGUUUUUCCUUUGUGAAUAGCCUAUGAUAGAAACUGUGUUGCUUGUUUGACAUUUCAGUCUUCGAACAGAGGGAAAAACAGGUCUGCACCAGAAGCACCAAGUCUGACAGCUGGGAAACCAAAGGAUACAGUUCAGUACCGUUUGAGUCUUGCAAAUGCACCCAACAUGAACAGGAGACUUGCAGUACAAAUCUUCUGCAAGAGGUCGAAGCAGUGGGUGGUGAAGAAAAUCGCCGCAGUGCCAAAGCCUGCUAAACCAGCUGCUACUAGCCAACACAAUAAGAUGUUCACCAGCUGUAGAACCUUCUGGAACCUGCCUGGAACAUUCAACCAACACAACAUCCAUAUUCAGUUAGACUGAUGUUGUAGUAUAUUAUAAAAUGCCUAGUAUGCUCAUAACUGCAUUGUGGUAUAGAUAUUGCUAGCUGUUGUACAUACAGUGCAUUCGGAAAGUAUUCAGACCUCUUGACUUCUUCCACAUUUUAUG